rnacentral:rRNA from 1 species
GCCCUACGGGAGGCAGCAGUAGGGAAUCUUCCACAAUGGACGAAAGUCUGAUGGAGCAGCGCCGCGUGAGUGAAGAAGGGUUUCGGCUCGUAAAGCUCUUUUGGUAGUGAAGAAAGAUAGAGGUAGUAACUGGCCUUUAUUUGACGGUAAUUACUUAGAAAGUCACGGCUAACUACGUGCCAGCAGCCGCGGUAAUACGUAGGGGACAAGCGUUGUCCGGAUUUAUUGGGCGUAAAGCGAGUGAAGGCGGGUGCAUAA